GCUAAGGCAGGGGUCCGCGCCGAGGGGGGCGGCGGUGGCCGGCCCCGGGAGGCAGGCGCGGCGCUGCGCCAGAGCCAGCAGGAGAAGCAGGAGCAGCGGGGCGGCUCGGGGCAUGGCGGCUGGGUCGGGGUGCCGCUCUGCCUGGGAGAGAGAAGGAGGGGAUGGAUGGGAGGAUGGAUGGAGAGAUGGAGGGAGGGACGAGGCAGCGGCCGCCAGGCAGCUCCCUACCCUCGUUCCCCGGGCAACCCGCGGGCGGGGACUGGGCGGGGAGGAGCCGGCCGCGCUCCGCCGGCCCGGCAGGGGGCAGCCGCCGGCCCCCCGCGUGAGGCGGCCUGAGGGACAGGGGACGUGGGGUCAAGGGGACAGGGGGCACCGUCCUGCUCCCCCCGGCCGGGGUUGGCGCCCGCUUUGAGGAGGCCCUGAAAAGCAGCCCCUGAGGCCUGGGAGUGCUGCUCGGCUCCCGCCUGUGAGGAACUGGGGCUGAAAGUAUAUCAAGAACAAAGGAGGCAAAGGGCAUUAAAAUGAUCCCUGUAAUUGCUCAUAGUGGGGGGAAAAAACUUGAGAAAUUGCACUUUUGUGUUUAUCUAAGUCCGUUUUUUUAAAUCCGUUUCUUUCUCUCUUUCCCUGCCUCUGAUCAGGGCCAAGAUCAGUGAUGUGUAAACCAGUGAACGGACUCUGGCCUUCCGUGCUCUCACUUCUACAAAAGCGAAGCAUUUAAGCCUCUAGUAACUAAUGAGUUUUCAUAUCUCUGUCAGCAGGUUGCAGGAGAAGGGGUAGCAGCAAUAGCUCUUGGUUUUUAGAAACCUUUCAACUUCUUGUACAAGUAAAGGCUGAAACCUGUGUCAUGGCCAGAAACAACUGGCAACGCUGACUGAACUGAGAGUCCAUCAGGGUGUGUAGCGGCCUGGAGGCAAUACUACAGCCACCCUUCUAAGCUGAAGUGAAGUAUCAUUGCUUUCUGUUACCUGAUGUGCCUUGUUCUCUGUUUCACUUCCCCUACCUUUUAGUUUUAUGUUCUGUGCCACACUGGCUCCCUCUGCUGGCUCUGCUCUCACUUCGUCCCUAACUCCUUUCACCAGCUCGUUCAGGUGGCUCUGAUUCAGCUCCUCUCAACCCCAGGUAACGGUGGGUCCUGAUAGUGCCUAUAGGCACUGUGGUAAUACAAAUUUUAAACAUAUAUAUAUGUACUCAAAUUAAGUUGCUUCUUCAUAUUACAACUAUCUUCUCCUUAAGGUUACUUUUUCUCUCAAUAUCAGAGCUCUUCACACAAAAAUUGCAGUACUUUUGUCUGACGAGUUCAUCAUCCUUUCUUUACUUAUCAUUGUCAAAUGUCAUAUCUCUGCAAAAAAACAGGAACUUGGAAGGAAUUCUUCGACUUUGAAAUUGAACUAUGAUUUACUGUUCUUUAAGUAUGGUGAGUUUGGGGUUUUUUUUGUUGUUGUUGUUCGUUUUUUGGGUGGUUGGGUUUUUUUUCCAAGCAUUUUUUUGCAACCGUUGUGCACCAUGAGAAUACAAAAAGUUCUUAAUUUGUUAAGUUUGUUCUUAAUAAUGUCAUAGAAAACAAUUCCAAAGGCCAUGCCCAUGUUAAGUUAUAACCGUUUUUCCUAUUCCAUUCACGAGACCUGUUGCCUUGUUCUACAAGAAAAUUAUUUGGCUUGACAUGAUUUAUUCCUGAUAAGUCCACAGAGGUUUCUACUUGUCUUCUUGUUAUCUUCUAAAUCCUCUGAAAUAACCUGUACAUAUAGCCCGGAAUUCUAGAGCAUUUGAUGUUAAAGCAGCUGGGCUGUAAUUCUUCAUUUCCUCCUUUUCAGUAAAAAUGUUUGCUCUGUUCCAGUCUCCUAGGACUUCAUCCUUCCACAGAGGUUUUCAAAUAUAGUUGUUCAUAAAGAGUUUCAUCCAGUUCUCUAAACAUCUUCUAGAGCAAAUCAUCAGGACAAGUUGAAAAGAUGUUCUGCUCUCUAACCUGAUCUUUCUUUUUGCUUGAGCUUUUCUCCUGGUGGACCUUUGUUAAAGAACAGGAUGCCUGAAUAAGCUAGGUAGGGAGUGCCCCUAUUUUUUUAAUUGGUCUUUGUACCCCCAAAGGUUUUACUAAUUCUGAUGGAACUCUGACCUAUGUCUGAGGCUUUUAAGUGGCCUUAUACUUAAUAUAAUUAAAUAAGUGUUGGGAAGUGAGGUUUCAAGACUGACAGCUAGAUAAGAUAUUGAAUUCUGUUCCCAUAGGAAUAUGGUAUUUGCAGAAAAGAGAACAACUUUAAAAUUAAGCUAGUCAACACAUCCAACUGAGCAGGCCGUAACAGUAUCACGUGUUUCUUUUGUGUUUUACAGGCUAUAUAAGCAUCGUUUGCAUUAUACAUGCCAUUUUCAUAAGAAAGUAUUUAACUGUGCAACACAAAAUAUUAUGCCUAUCUAAUUAGCUAGUGAUUUUCAAAAAUGCUGUAUUUUUAUGCAUUUUAAUGUUCCAAUAUGCAUAGUUUAAAUAAUUUUAGUCAGCUUUCUACAAACAAAUUACUAAUUGAAAUAUUCAGUAAGGAUUGCAAGCUGUCUGCCUCAUUUACACUUGCUAGAAUGUGAAUUGUAUUAUGUCUAAUAUUUAAGACACACUAAUAAGCUAAGCCACAUUACAGCUUAACUACUUAUUUUGACGUAGAAGGAGAUUUUGCCUUUUUUUUUUUUUUAAUCUGUUAUGAUUAAAUAUUUAGUGAGGAACAAAAAUCUCUGAUUUCCCAAGGGGAAUGUCCCCCAUAACAGCAAUGAUCUUUUUUUAAUAUUGAUGAAAUCUUUUAAAACCACCUUAGUUAAAUUUUAUUUUAAUAGUAUAGGACUUAUUUAGAUGAGAUAGUCACUGUGUUGAGACUUCUCUGAAUAGUACCCGGACUGAUUCUUUUCUGUUUCAUGUUUUAGGUCAAGCUGCAAUCCUGUCUUUAUGAUAUUGGUUGUCAGAGCGCAGAACUGACAUUUUCCUCAUCUCUCCCUCAGCUUGUGCCUACCUUAAAGUAUCUCAAGUGCUUCGCUUCCAAUUUAUCGAAAGGACUAGGUUUUUAAUUUUAUAUGAGACACUUCAGAAGUGUCCCACUAAUGGACACUAAGCCUCCCUAAACUGGAGACAAAUUCCCCAAAUUGCUCAUCAUGUUCCCAAUCCCAUAUCCAAUAGCUGCUAAAGCUAAAAUCCUUUUGAAAAUCAUUGCCUCAGUUGCGGAAACUAUUACUGCUUUUUUAAUGUUGUGUUUCAUAGGGCUUUUAAUGCUUUCAUUCAAAAUGUUUUCUACGUGCCUUUAAUUUUCCUUCCCAAGUACGUGCCUUCUAUUCAGGUACAUUCUAUUAUUAUAACUAUUUGAAUGACCCAUGCCUCAAUCUAUCAAAGUACUAAAGUACCUGCUUAAGCAUAUAAGCAGCCCACAGAAUCCAGUGACCUUUCAAGUUGCAUAACCAAGUGCUUCACAUUGGAACUUAUUUUGGCUGAUGGUCGUGAGUUUGCAUUGCGAGGGGAAUGUUUGGUGACAAUAGGAGAUUAGUUUAAGGCUCUGAACAGAGACAAAAUUAUAAAAAAAUAUAUACUUCACUGCUAUAUGUGGAUGAGAGGGAAAUAUUGGUUUAUUUUUAUACGCAACUGAACAAUUGCUAUUUCUUUUAUCUCGACAGAGAUUGGAAAACACCCUGCACCAUGACAAUGUGUAUGGUUUUAUCUGCUUUCCUCCCCAGCCGUUACAUUUCCAUUUAUUUUUCUGCACUGUAUUAUUAAGCUGCUUGAAACGUGCAUGUUUUCUUUUUUGUUUGCUAACUUUGAUGUUGGAAACUGGUGAUAAUGAUUUGUUUACCACUGUCAAUAGUGAAAGUAUCUAUUUUUAUUUAACAUUUGCUGUUCAGGGGGAUCUGUAAUAUAAAGAGAGACAGUAAUGCAACUACUAUCAAGAGAGAUGCCAGCCCAGGUACAGAAACAUUCUUCGCUGUGGGAAGCAUGAGGUCUUGGGCAAUUGCCACGUUCUAAGAGGGCAUCCAUAUGGCAGAAGUUAAGCUUUUACACUGGGGAGCACAAAAACACUGUGCUGUGGAAAUCCCUAACACCUGUUUUUAUCAGUGUCUGACAGUCAGCAGCAUUCCCCGUAUAUUCAUCUGUUUGACUCACAGGAACUUUCAUCAACCUGAGUAGUGGUUUAUGGAUUUAGAGCAAUGGACUGAAAUUAAUCCACACCUCUAAACAGUGUAGUUGUUUUACAAACAAAAUGACUGUCAGCAAUUUAAGGUCUUUCUCUGGAAGGCGCCAGAGAAAUUAAUGUCUCAGUAGCUACCCUACCUUUCUCUAGUAAGCUGUAUAUGUAAUUUGAAACUAGAGACUUUCACAGCAAAGCUGUGCUUUAUGCUCUUUUAAUGGUUUUUAGUGUCAUGUUGUGUGGUAUUACAGCAAGUAUUACUAUACUUCAUGAAAUAAGAAAUUAAAAGACACGAUUGAUCUGGACCCAUGUCUAUGUAAAUAAAGCUACAGUGGGUAAAAUCAUGCAUAUUUAUACCAGGUUUGAAUCAACUUCCAAGGAGCUUGUUUGAAAAGUCUCUCAAAUUAGUUUCAACAUUUGUUUUGUGCUGUUAACACAACUGUAGCCUAAGACAUUUAAAUCCUAUAAUAUAGGUAUUAUAAAAUAAUUGAGAGAACGUAUAGGUUUUGGCAUUUACAAGUCUUCCCUUCUGUUCUUUAAGCCAUGUCUUUGGCUCUGAAAAGAUGACAAUGUGACAACAAUUUCAAUAGAGAUAAAAAAUAAUUUAAGACAUCAUUCACAGACUUUUUUUUCAGUCAGAGAAACAAAGCAAGUGGAAAGCAGCAUCUUAAUGUCAGAAUGAUCUUCUAUCUUUUAGAAUUUGCAUAGAUGUUUCAACAACUCAAAUUAACAGCUAUUGACAGCUAUCAGAAUAAGUAUUUGACCAUGAGAAUUUGAAGUACUAGAUCUGAAGAGCUAUUUUUAUAGUCAGUAAAUAAAUGACUUAUUUAUAUGAAUUUCAAGGUGCAUGUGUCAAGAGGACAUGAUGUCUGUAUUCUUAUUGAGUGGAAAAACUUACACAUCAGAAGCUGUACAGAGGAGAAGAGAAGGAAAAAUAAAAUUCUGACAGACCUUUUACUGAAAUAAAAGCAAAUCACAAGAUGCUCCAGUGAAAAAUAUUAAGCCUUAACUUUUCUCUUUGAUAUUCUUCCUGAGCAAUAAACAAAAAGGUUUCAAGGUUUGUGGUUGCAAAGGGACAGCACCUGUGAUUUUAAAGGCAGCAGCUGGAAGGCAUUUCUUUCAACUGAGAGAUGUAUACCUGUAUUUUAGUCAAUGGGGAUCCACAAAAUACCUCAACGCCUUCAUACCUUGAAUCAUCAGGCUCCCAACUAACUUAUUCAGUGCUUAUCACAACUCACCACAUCCUCACCACCCUCCCCAGAGAUGUAGAAGUACUACUAUUCCAGUUUUACAGAAAAUUCUGUAUAUGGAAUUAUGGCAUCUCCAUAAUUGCUGUCAAAUCAUGUUAACUACUUAUCCUCAAAGAAGUUGGAGAUGACAUAUUCUAGGACAGAGAGAAACUCUGAGAACUCCUGGACACAGUCGAAACAGAGUCCUAUGAAGACGAAGAUUACUCAUGAUCUGCAGCUGCAGAGACCCUUGUCACUUCCACUCAUUUUAUUGGAAAAUUUAGAAAACCUCUCUCUGCAUAUAAAUUUCUUCUAUUGAACUUAUUUAAAUUGAUAGAGUAGCACAAAACAGAGCAAGACUAUUUAAGAUGCAUAUCAACUUUUCUGAUUCUCAGUUAUUAGUAAAUGCAUGCAUGCAGUUUUGAUUUUACAUUCUAAAUAUAGUCAGCUAAUUUUGGAAUUGCAAUGUGUUUUACUAAAACAGAUUUAUCUAGUUGGGUCUUGAAAAACCCAGCAAUGGGGACUGCACAAUCUCUCUGGGGAUGUGAAACGGGGAUAAUCCCUUCCCUCAGUCUACCAGCCAUGCUCUUGUUAGUGCAGCACAGGAUGUUACUGCCUUUAUUUGCUGCCAGGGCACAAUGCUGACCUGAAUUCAGCCUUUUGCAGCAGAGCUACUCUCCACCUAGUUAAUCCUUUUGUCUCUACUUUCUUGUCUGCUAGAAGAACAUGAUGCUUCUGGUCUUAAAUUGGAAGUUACCAGCCAUAGAAUUCAGCGCUACUGAAGUUGGGAUAAUUUUACUGUUUAAUAGCCUUUUCCCCACUGUAUUCUCCCCCCUCCUCCUGCCUUUUGAAGAACUUCUGUAGUUUUAGUAUCCCAGAAUAUAGCUUGCUCCUGGGAAGCGCUGGUUUUAGGAAAGAAAGAAACAGGUUGGAAAUUUUUGCUUUUUUAGCUAUUGUCUCAACAGUUUUAAUAUAAAG